rnacentral:ncRNA from 1 species
CGGCCUGAGGUCGGACGAGGCUACCCGCUGAAUUUAAGCAUAUUACUAAGCGGAGGAAAAGAAACUAACGAGGAUUCCCUCAGUAACGGCAAGUGAAGCGGGACGAGCCCAGCGCCGAAUCCGGCCGCUUAUGGAGC